AUUGAACGCUGGCGGCAGGCCUAACACAUGCAAGUCGAACGGUAACAGGAAACAGCUUGCUGUUUCGCUGACGAGUGGCGGACGGGUGAGUAAUGUCUGGGAAACUGCCUGAUGGAGGGGGAUAACUACUGGAAACGGUAGCUAAUACCGCAUAACGUCGCAAGACCAAAGAGGGGGACCUUCGGGCCUCUUGCCAUCGGAUGUGCCCAGAGGGGAUUAGCUUGUUGGUGGGGUAACGGCUCACCAAGGCGACGAUCCCUAGCUGGUCUGAGAGGAUGACCAGCCACACUGGAACUGAGACACGGUCCAGACUCCUACGGGAGGCAGCAGUGGGGAAUAUUGCACAAUGGGCGCAAGCCUGAUGCAGCCAUGCCGCGUGUAUGAAGAAGGCCUUCGGGUUGUAAAGUACUUUCAGCGGGGAGGAAGGGAGUAAAGUUAACACCUUUACUCAUUGACGUUACCCGCAGAAGAAGCACCGGCUAACUCCGUGCCAGCAGCCGCCGUAA
rnacentral:rRNA from 1 species